UACGUAGGCAGCAAGCGUUGUUCGGAUUUACUGGGCGUAAAGGGUGCGUAGGCGGCUCUAUAAGUAUGGUGUGAAAUCUCCCGGCUUAACUGGGAGGGUGCGCUAUAGACUGUGGGGCUAGAGUGUGGGAGAGGAAAGUGGAAUUCCUGGUGUAGCGGUGAAAUGCGUAGAUAUCAGGAGGAACACCGGUGGUGUAAACGGCUUUCUGGACCAUAACUGACGCUGAGGCACGAAAGCGUGGGUAGCAAACAGG
rnacentral:rRNA from 1 species